rnacentral:rRNA from 1 species
AAACCAACAGGGAUUGCCUUAGUAGCGGCGAGUGAAGCGGCAAAAGCUCAAAUUUGAAAUCUGGCACCUUCGGUGUCCGAGUUGUAAUUUGAAGAUUGUAACCUUGGGGUUGGCUCUUGUCUAUGUUUCUUGGAACAGGACGUCACAGAGGGUGAGAAUCCCGUGCGAUGAGAUGCCCAAUCCUAUGUAAGGUGCUUUCGAAGAGUCGAGUUGUUUGGGAAUGCAGCUUUAAGUGGGUGGUAAAUUCCAUCUAAAGCUAAAUAUUGGCGAGAGACCGAUAGCGAACAAGUACAGUGAUGGAAAGAUGAAAAGAACUUUGAAAAGAGAGUGAAAAAGUACGUGAAAUUGUUGAAAGGGAAGGGUUUGAGAUCAGACUCGAUAUUUUGUGAGCCUUGCCUUCGUGGCGGGGUGACCCGCAGCUUAUCGGGCCAGCAUCGGUUUGGGCGGUAGGAUAAUGGCGUAGGAAUGUGACUUUGCUUCGGUGAAGUGUUAUAGCCUGCGUUGAUGCUGCCUGCCUAGACCGAGGACUGCGAUUUUAUCAAGGAUGCUGGCAUAAUGAUCCCAAACCGC